AAAAAAUCUUCAGCCUGGCCUUAUCCCGUCGCUGUGCUCGUACCAGCCGUUCUGAUAUUUCUUCCAACCACCGCUCCCUGCUUCCUAUCUACGCAGCGCUCUGGUCGGCUGGUCCUCAUCCCUCCAGUACGCGAGACUUCUUCCUUGAUCCUUCCCUCCGCCGCGCACUGUGGAAGUCUCUGGCCGCCCAUCCUGCGUACGCCACCGCUCUACUCGAUCUUCAGCUCCAGCAGCGCGAUAUUUUUUCGCUCGGCGUCGUCCUCAUCUCCUUCCCCGACGCUGCGCUCUCUCUCUUGGUUUCCUGCUCGCCGCUCUCUCUCUCCCUAUUUAUCUCACACGCGCUCAACUUCCUUGCUUCAACUUUCUGGCCGUGCGAGCGCAGUCGGCCGCGACAGCCAACGCGUGGGCGUGCGGAGGCGCGCGCCAUGGGGCUGGACGUGCACGUCCCUGGCAGGUUUCAGCUCCAGCGCGUCGUCCUCCAUGGCCGCCGUGUGCUCGCCAGCGAGCUCCUCCCUUCUCCCUGCAGCUUGCCGAGCUCGCCGGCGUUUCUCCCGCUCCCUGGUGGCCGAGCCUGGCCCCUGCGCCCUGCUGCAGCCCGUCGUCACCUUGCUGCUCGCCGUCCGCGCGCCACUUCGCCCAUGGCAGCCACGCCUGCUCCCUUCGCCGCGCGUCGUGUCGCGCCGUUCGCCGUCGAGUCUCGCUACCCAUCGCGAAGUCCCAUGCUGUCAGCCUCCGCAUAUGUCCUAAGCCGUCAGUUUGCCUCCAUCUCGUGGUAGUGUUGCGCUGCCGUCGAGUCCCGAUAUCGAUCUGGUUGUCGUCGAAGUGAAGCUUAGUUUAAUGAUUGCCAAGGGUUCGAUCAAAGAUUUUAUUCGGAGACUGUCGACGUUCUCGCAAGCUUGAAGUCGGACUUACUUUGGAUGAUAAGUCUCUGAUGUUCGAGAGAGGCGAGGCCUGUAAGCGCUCUCUUGGGACUCAACCAAAUAUCUAAACUGGAAAACUGUCAUCGCCCUCGCGGAUAUCGAAUCAAAUCAGUAUUGGCACAUUAAAUAAUCGCGUGAUGCGGAAGACAAGCCAAGUCGACCCCAAGCGUGGGCUAAUCCGUAUGGUGAUGCUGAUGGACGAACCUGCCUGAUCAAGUGCUAGGACAAGGAUGAUCGCCAAGUGGACGUCGUCU
rnacentral:misc_RNA from 1 species